CUUAGCUCAGCUGGUAGAGCAACUGACUCUUAAUCAGUGGGUCCCGGGUUCGAAUCCCUGAAGG
rnacentral:tRNA from 1 species